rnacentral:rRNA from 1 species
ACUGCUCAGUAACACGUGGACAACCUACCCUGAGGUCGGGGAUAAACCCGGGAAACUGGGUAUAAUACCCGAUAGAUCUAGAUCGCUGGAAUGCUUUUAGGUCUAAAGUUCCGACGCCUCAGGAUGGGUCUGCGGCCUAUCAGGGUAGUAGUGGGUGUAAAGUACCUACUAGCCUACGACGGGUACGGGUUGUGAGAGCAAGAGCCCGGAGAUGGAUUCUGAGACACGAAUCCAGGCCCUACGGGGUGCAGCAGGCGCGAAACCUUUACAAUGCUGGCAACAGCGAUAAGGGGACCUCGAGUGCUACGAUACAAUCGUGGCUGUCUAGUUGCCUAAAAAGCAAUUGAUAGCAAGGGCCGGGCAAGACCGGUGCCAGCCGCCGCGGUAACACCGGCGGCUCGAGUGGUAACCGCUAUUAUUGGGUCUAAAGGGUCUGUAGCCGGCUUAGUUAGUCUCUUGAGAAAUCUGGCCGCUCAACGGUCAGGCGUUCAGGGGAUACUGCUAAAGCUCGAGACCGGGAGAGGUGAGAGGUACUUCAGGGGUAGGGGUGAAAUCUUGUAAUCCUUGAAGGACCACCAGUGGCAAAGGCGUCUCACCAGAACGGAUCUGACGGCAAGGGACGAAAGCUAGGGGCACGAACCGGAUUAGAUACCCGGGUAGUCCUAGCCGUAAACGAUACUCGCUAGGUGUCGGCCACGGUGCGACCGUGGUCGGUGCCGUAGGGAAGCCGUGAAGCGAGCCACCUGGGAAGUACGGCCGCAAGGCUGAAACUUAAAGGAAUUGGCGGGGGACACA